rnacentral:tRNA from 1 species
AGCAGCACUGGUGUAAUGGUAGCACACGGUCCUUCCAAGUCUUAAGUAGGGGUUCGAAUCCCCUGUGCUGCUAC